UAUUUUUAAAAUAUUUAUAUUAUGAAUAUUGUUACAUUUUUUUAAAGCCUUAAUAGAUUAAUUUUUAGUUAACCACAACUGCAAUCAUUAAAAGAAAUACAAGUUGAAAAAGAAUACCAAAUUUAGUUGCAGCAAACUAAGCUGAACAAAAACACAAAAAAGUUGCCCUAAUGCAUGCAACCUUGUUGAUAUUUCUCUUUCUUCAUCGGAAGAGCGCAGACUACGCCAAUUAUUUUUUCUAUGCAUGUAUUAGUUUUUGCAUAUAUUUAUAUACUGAACCUGUAGAGAUAGGGAAACUAAUCACCAUAUCUGUAAUUGAUGUACUUCUUCUGAAGUAUGAGUGUGUAAGUGUGGUAUAUAUCGUAAUAAAACUUACUAAGAGUUUAUUAAUCAAGCGUGAACAAAUAGUCUAACGUAUCGGAUUCUUCUAAUUUAUUAAAUCUGAUGGUUCAUCGAAUAGAUGUUUACUUCUACGUUAGCUACUUUGAAACAAAAGUCAAAAAAAGUAAUUGGGCUAUAUUAAACGAUAGUAUUUCCCUGCAGGGUAUAAAUGCCUCUGCGCAUUUACAUACAUAUAUUAAUACAAGUAUGCGUCGUGCAUGUUUUGUGUACAGUAGUUUUCCGAAAUAACGAACACAUUAAUUGUCAGGCCUCUUCGCUAUAUCGAAUUUUUCGGUAAUUCGAGUACUCACUUAGAGGUAUUUUUAUCAAUAAAAAUGAGUUAUAUAUCCGUAAAUUGCAGUUUAAUAAAUUGUUUAUUAAUUAUUUGUUAAAAAAUGAAAAACUAUAACAAAACAAUUCAAAUCCAAUAAAUUCUUCCAAAAUGGACCAAUUCUGACACUCAUACUUCUAUUUGGUGCUGAUCAAUAAUUUUAAGCAACAUUUUUUCAUUCAAAUUUUUUAUUUUAAUUAUUUUUUUAUUUCAACAUUUUUUAAUUUGCACAUUUCUUUUGAAUUUUUCCAGUUUUAUUUUUAAUUCUUGUUCGACCGUAUUUGAUUUUUUCGUCUUUCUUCAUAUGUCUUCUUCAUGUUGUUCGUUAAACUGAGUACUUACAAAUUCUCGAUGUUCGUUAUUUACGGUACUCAAUGUAAAAAAUUUGCUUGUUCGUUAUAAGCGGUUAUCGUUAAAACGAAUAUUCGUUAUUUCGGAAAACUACUGUACUCAUAUUUUGAGAGGGUUUUCGGAUUGCUAGCUAGUAAGUCUACGUAGUGUUGACAAUGAGCGGGAGGUUCGCUUGCGAAGUGUGGCGAUAGCAUAAAAGUGAGCUUUGGAUUGGCGGUAUAGAUGUAAUGGUCAAUAGGCUAGCUGGGUAGUUGGACUCUGUAGGCUCGCUCGUAUAGUACAUUAAAUAUUCGUUCGCUUAUCAAUGAAUUUUACUUUCGUUUUUUGUUUCUGUUAGUUGCUAGCCAACGGGCGUUUUCAAUGCAUGAAUAUCUUUAAUAUAUUCACAGUGAACCACUCAUUUUUAAUAUGACAGGGACGCAUGGUAGAAAGCAAACAGCGAGCAGUUUCAAAAACAAAAACGACAACCAGCGACGAAAAUGAGCUAAUACAUUUGUUUACUUUGUUUAAUGAAUAGGCAAAUUUCUCAAUCAGCUGUCUAAAUGCACAAAAUUUGUCAUCUGUCACUGCUAUAAUUUAAAAAAAAUACAAAUUUCAUUAUUUCAAGAUUAUUAUAUAUUUUGGAUUUUGGAUUGUACAUAUAUUUACAUACACAUACAUAUUUGUACUUUGGAAAUCGAAAGACUUUCCUAAACGUAUUUUCUGCAUAUAAAAAGGGAUUUUCCUUGUUAGGCAAAAUAGCCAGAUUGCACCUAUGAGUGUUGCAAAAGAUAAGAUUAUUUAGUUGAAUUCGUGCAGGAGAGUAUGCGAAUACCUCAUUAAAAAUUCUAUCCUCGCUUGCUGAGUGCUACCAAGUUUUGUUUUACACAUUUUAGAACCAUUUUACAAAGGACAAAUUACUGUCAAAAUAAUAAAAAUUGUUAUACACAAAUUUGAAAUUGAAAAUGGCAGGCGAAAAUAAAUCAAAACGUAAGACAUGGACGGUGGUAGAAUCCAUGGGGCUACUAAAAUGCUACUUAGUUCAAGUAGUUGAAGAAUACGCUCCAAACAAAUUAGCAAGCAGCCGAAAAGUGACGAUAUUACUCAUGUACCAAAUAUAAAUAUACAACUUUUUUCUAGGUGGUACAAUUUUUCUUCCACCAGUAUUUGUUUUGGGCUCAAUGCUAUUGUAUAUUUCUCGGAAAGUAAAAUGUUAAAAUAAAUUUGUAAAGUCAAUAAAAUAAAUAUAUGCGUCCAUAAAUACACAUCCCUAAAUAUAUACCACAGAACGCCGCAAUCUCAUGUGCGAUUUGAAUUCAUUCUCGCCAUAGCCUUCAAUGACUUCGCAAAAGUUUUGGCAUUUAUUGGUUUCCUCCCUAUCCGAUUCCUCAGAGCUUUAUUGAUGAUUCCAAACUGGAGCUAGAUGAUAUUUCCCAAGAAUGAUAGAAGACAAGUUUACAGUGAGCUUUUUUGGGUUUUAAUUUCCUGUUGAGUGACGCUUUCACGACCCCCACGCGAGCAAAACAAAAAACGAAAGAAAAACUGACAAAUUGCACGGUAGUACAAAACAAUAAAACCAAAACAAAGAGCUGAAGUCAAGGCUAGUGCUUAAUUAUUAUUUAAAAUUCUAAGUGAGAAAUGUAUUAACUUGAAAAAGACAGUAGUACAAAAAAGUCGUAUAUAAAGAUUUUUUUUUCACUUUUCCAACUAACAAAAAUGUUGGCAAAAUGGCGAACUUUUUGUAACAAAACAUAUAAUUUUAAUUAUAAAUAUGUAUUAUUAUAUUGGAUCAUUUUAUAGAUGACGAUUUUAAGAAUCACGUUCAUUGUGAUAUUUUAUCUGUACAUUAUUCAAUUUGGUUCACUAUGUUUUACUUUUCCGUUUUCCAUUUGACAAUUCUUCUGUUGCCUAUUCCCAUUCGGGGGUCGUGAACGCGUCACUAUGUCGUAAUCUUCUCUUCUAUCAUUCUUGAGUAUACCAGCACUUCCAAUCAUAAGCUCCUCUUCAUUUUGUAAAUACUGAGAAACCCGCACAAUAAUUUAUUGGUAUAAACACAAUGCAUUACAUUUGUUUAAAAAAAUUAAAAUACACAAUAUUUUCCAUUUUCGUUUUUAACAUAAAAUGAUUCGAUUUUUUCGAACUUUGAAAAUUAAAUUGUUUUGUUAGCGAACUGUCAAAGAGUUCAGUGAGACCAAUUAUAGACAAUUCGAUUUCAUAAUAUAAAUAUUAAUAUAUAUUAGGCCAAUUGCAUCAUUCAUUAUUGUACUCUUGUUUUUCUGUAAGCUGGUUUAAAACACAUAACAAAUUAGAGACUGAUAUUGCUAAACUAGAGAUGAGACAAACGCGCCAGAAUACCAAAAAGUCAUUAUAGAAGUCUCUAUUAGAGACUUGAGACUGCUCGCAGAAUACCGGUAUAAAUCUUAUUAUUUAUUAAGGGAAUUUUUGAUUUUUGACAGACUUUGAACAAAAAACUCUGCUUUUUGAGAAAUUUUCGUCAUAUAUUGGCUCUUAUUAUUUAUUAAAGAAAAAUUUUAAUUUUUGACAGACUUUGAACAAAAAAAACUCUUGUUUUUGUCAAAUUUUCGUCACUCUAACCAGAGAAUGUCAAUUAUAGAGAAGGUUCAUGGUUUCGAAGGGGUACUCGUUUCUAUAAGCGUGUUUCACCACAUGUAGCUAUAAGCGUGUUUCACCGCAGCUUAACAUUAGAGGGCUCAAAAAUAACAGAUUUGAGCGUUUUCAUGUUUAAAUGAGAAAAAUUGUGUUAAUUUAAAUGUUAGUAAAUGUACGUUUACAGAUUCGCUUAUAUACAAUGCGCAAACGACUUGUAUACACUUAUAUAUGUAUGAAAUUUACAGAUAUUUUGUUUAUAUUUGAUAUUAAAGGACAUGCACACAUAUGUAAUAAAUGUCUACCCAUUAUUUAUUCCAUAAAAACCUUUGAAAUAUAAAAUAAACUAAAAAUAUUAUAUAUGUAAAAUAAUAUUAAUAAUAAUUACUAUGUAUAUAUUUAAUUACUUUGGUCAUAAAUAAUUUCUAUAAUAUCUCAAAAUCAUAAACGUCCGCGCAUUUGUAAUUAUGUGUGCAUGUAAACAAAUAUCAAAGAAUCAUUCUAAUUGUAUGUAAAAAUGUGCACUCAUGGCUUCAUGUAAAAUCUUCGUUGCCACGGUCAACCAAUGGCCGAAGCCUAUGAUUUUUUGUUUUCAUUUCAAAACGUUGUAAUGAUUGUGGAGCGUACGCAGGCAAAAAGGCCCAGAUGCUUAACAUAUCAUGUCUUUAAGUUUUAUGCCUUGGUUCUUACAAAAAUUAAUAGUACUCAUUUCAAAUAUGACUCAAUGUGUUGGUAGGCAUUAAAAUGCAUUUAAUUAUGUAGAUAACCAAUUAAUACUUCAAUAUUUGUCAACGCAUAUUAAGCGCAAUUAUUUUUACGGCGGGAUCACUUGAAACGGCUCUGUAAAGCUCGAUGUGUCGAAAAAUUGAUGGCCGCCUGCGCGACGCUACAUUGCGUUGUUGGUAGAAAAUCGGCUUGCCGUAAAUAUGUAUGAGCAUGCAAACAUAUCGACAUAAAUUUUUGCGAGCCACAGAAUUUUUGCUGAAAAAUAUUUUAAAUCGACUCAAGGGCAAUGUUGCCACUUUUCUCCCUAGGUUUUUGCGGCGUUGCAACUUUUCCUUCUGAGGGAACAUUAAAAAAAUCUUCAAUUUAUGAUUUUUGUCAUCGUCGCGAAAAAGCGUUUGUUGGCAUGGCAUGCGCGGGGAGAUGUAUAUGGCUCUGCUUUUAUGAAUGAAGCAACUUUGCCAAGUGAAUGUGCGCCUGCGUUCGUGAAUGAAAAUGUUUUUGUUGCGUUUACUACAAUAUUUGGCUAUGUCGAUUGGUUACCAUAUUGACUUGUGAUGCUACUCAUGCGUUUGAGGUGCUUGUUGUUUUUGUGGUGGUUGACAAACUUACGUACACGCAUAUGAAAAUGUAAGUUUGUGUGUUUGUUCAGUGACAUGCAAACAUAUGUAUGUAGAUAUAUGCAUACAGAGCAAUGCGUGCACAUGUGACAUGACCUUCACUGAAAAGUGAUAAUGAUACUAUUCGAAUUUUUGAAGACAUAUUUACAUAUCCUGCUGAAUGACAGUGAGAGUACAACACCAGGAGAUGGCGAACCCGAUCCCCCAAUCGAUGACGAUGGAACAGAUGUUCCAUUACCCGAUCAUGAAGAAAUUCGAAUAGCAAUUACCCGCUUGAAGAACAACAAAGCAGCGGGGGCCGAUAGAUUACCGGCAGAACUAUUCAAAUACGGCGGCGAAGAACUGAUAAGGUGCAUGCAUCAGCUUCUUUGCAGAAUAUGGUCGGAAGAAAGCAUGCCUGACGAUUGGAAUCUCAGUGUGCUCUGCCCAAUCCAUAAAAAGGGAGAUCCCACAAUCUGCGCCAAUUACCGUGGGAUCAGCCUCCUAAAUAUCGCAUACAAGGUUCUAUCGAGCGUACUGUGUGAAAGACUAAAGCCCACCGUCAACAAACUGAUUGGACCUUAUCAGUGUGGCUUUAGACCUGGAAAAUCGACAACUGACCAGAUAUUCACCAUGCGCCAAAUCUUUGAGAAGACCCGUGAAAAGAGGAUCGACACACCCCACAUUUUUGUCGAUUUUAAAGCUGCUUUCGACAGCACGAAAAGGAGUUGCCUUUACGCCGCGAUGUCUGAAUUUGGUAUCCCCGCAAAACUAAUACGGCUGUGUAAAUUGACGUUGAGCUUAUGAUAUUGAUAUCAUCGGAAGCAACAACCGCGCCGUUUGUUCUGCUUUUUCCCGCAUGGAUAAUGAGGCGAAGCGAAUGGGUCUGGAGGUGAAUGAGGACAAGACGAAAUAUCUCCUGUCAUCAAACAAACAGUCGGCGUAUUCGCGUCUUGGCUCCCACGUCACUGUUGACAGUCAUAACUUGUAGAUAAUUUCGUAUACCUGGGAACCAGCAUCAACAACACGAACAAUGUCAGCCUCGAAAUCCAGCGCAGAAUAACUCUUGCCAACAGGUGCUACUUUGGACUGAGUAGGCAAUUGAACAGUUAAGUCCUCUCUCGACGAACCAAAAUCAAGCUCUACAAGUCGCUUAUCAUUCCCGUCCUGCUUUACGGUGCAGAAGCUUGGUCAACAUCAGAUGAGACGACACUAGGAGUUUUCGAGAGGAAAAUUUUGCGCAAGAUUUAUGGUCCUCAGAACAUUGGCAACGGCGAAUACCGCAGACGAUGGAACGAUGAGCUGUACGAGUUAUACGACGACAUUGACAUAGUUCAGCGAAUAAAAAGACAGCGGCUACGCUGGCUAGGUCAUGUUGUCCGAAUGGACGAAAACACUCCAGCCCUGAAAGUGUUCGAUGUAGUACCCGCCGGAGGAAGCCGAGGAAGGGGAAGGCCUUCACUCCGUUGGAGGGACCAGGUGGAGAGCGACCUGGUUACACUUGGGAUCUCCAACUGGCGCUGAACUGCGAAGGAGAGAGAGAGGUGGCGCACUAUCGUCGAUUCGGCUAUAACCGGCUAAACGGUUGCAACGCCAAUCACAUACAUACACACGUAAAUGCUUAUGUAUAUAGACAUAUAUAUGUAUACAAGUUUAGAGUUAUGAAAUAUGUAGUUUAUUUUGGUAUUGUACGAAAUGUAUUUAGUAUAAAAAUAUAAACAUAUUUUUUAUGGAAGUAUGUACAUACACAUGUAUAUUAUUAUAAAACAUAUAUUUUUUCUACAAAUAUGUCUCUGAAUUCGCAUAAUUCAUUUGACAUUUUUUCAAUUGUGGAUGCAUUUAUAAAUAUCUGCAAAACGAAUUUCAUAUCAAUUGUAUAUUGUAUAAAAUUCAUUUAUGAAUUUCAUAUCAUUUGUAUAUAGUAAGCAUAUAAAUGCAUCAACAUAUAAACAAAAAGCCUAACAUGCGUCUAUAAUAGAAAUGUAAACUUCUGAGCAUAUUUUUCAAUUAAUACUCAGUUCUGUUACGAGUCACUGUUAAUAUUUCUCCUUCCAAGUUGGCCGUGGUGAUAGCUUAUAGCAUUUUGAUAGGUUUUGACAAUUCACACGCUUGUCCGCAAUUGAACCUUCUCUAUAUUAUACGUUCUCUGCAACUUUAGAGAAAUCGUGUCCACCGACUUAAAAAUUAGUUCUGAGAUAAAGAAAUUUGAUGAAAAUAUUAUUGGAAUUAUGAUAUACAUAUAUGUGUAUUAGACUAAUCAACUAACCGAAUUAACAGGGUAGGGAAUUAUUCGAAUAAUAAUAAUCGGUUUUCGGGUUAUUCGAAUAAUUUUAAGAGCCAUAAUGUGUAUAAUUCAUAGGUAGAUAUGGAAAUUAAAGUUUAUUAUGUUCUAUAUUAAAAGUAAGUUAUCUUUCAACUAACAAUUGUAAGGUUAAUGUAACAGAGCCUCUUACAGUGUCAACACUUCAAUAAGUCUUAGGGAACUAUGGAUAUCACGCUAAAAUGAAAUUUGCACUCAAGACCCAAAAUGGAGUUUGGAGCGUCGUCAAUCAUCUGGUCACUUGGUUUGGCGUAAGGAGUCUCCUAGUUCUAAAGUGCGUUUUCGUUUUGAUGUUGAAGUAUUGGAAUUUGAGAAACAGCCCCACGAAGAUAU